UACGAAGGGGGCUAGCGUUGCUCGGAAUCACUGGGCGUAAAGCGCACGUAGGCGGGUUGUUAAGUCGGGGGUGAAAUCCUGGAGCUCAACUCCAGAACUGCCUUCGAUACUGGCGACCUUGAGUCCGGGAGAGGUGAGUGGAACUCCGAGUGUAGAGGUGAAAUUCGUAGAUAUUCGGAAGAACACCAGUGGCGAAGGCGGCAUCCUGGACCGGUAUUGACACUGAGGCGCGAAAGCCAGGGGAGCAAACGGG
rnacentral:rRNA from 1 species